AACGAACGCUGGCGGCAUGCCUAACACAUGCAAGUCGAACGAGACCUUCGGGUCUAGUGGCGCACGGGUGCGUAACGCGUGGGAACCUGCCCUUAGGUUCGGAAUAACUCCCCGAAAGGGGUGCUAAUACCGGAUAAUGUCUUCGGACCAAAGAUUUAUCGCCUUUGGAUGGGCCCGCGUUGGAUUAGCUAGUUGGUAGGGUAAAAGCCUACCAAGGCGACGAUCCAUAGCUGGUCUGAGAGGAUGAUCAGCCACACUGGGACUGAGACACGGCCCAGACCCCUAGGGGGGGGCGGAGGGGGGAAUAUUGGACAAUGGGCGAAAGCCUGAUCCAGCAAUGCCGCGUGAGUGAUGAAGGCCUUAGGGUUGUAAAGCUCUUUUACCCGGGAUGAUAAUGACAGUACCGGGAGAAUAAGCCCCGGCUAACCCCGU
rnacentral:rRNA from 1 species